rnacentral:rRNA from 1 species
AACGAACGCUGGCGGCGUGGAUAAGACAUGCAAGUCGAACGCUGAUUUCAGGGUAGCAAUAUUCUGGAGUCGGAGUGGCGCAAGGGUGCGUAACACGUGGGUAAUUUGCCAUGAAGCCCGGAAUAACUCGCUGAAAGGCGAGCUAAUACCGGAUGUGAUCUUCGGGAGGCAUCUCCUGAACCUCAAAGCUGGGGACCGUAAGGCCUGGCACUUCUUGAUAAGCCCGCGGCCUAUCAGCUAGUUGGUGAGGUAACGGCUCACCAAGGCUAAGACGGGUANCUGGUCUGAGAGGACGACCAGUCACACUGGAACUGAGACACGGUCCAGACACCUACGGGUGGCAGCAGUCGAGAAUUUUUCNCAAUGGGCGAAAGCCUGAAGGAGCGACGCCGCGU